UGUUGUGUGGCUUAGUGGUAGAGCAUUUGCCUUGCAUGUGUGAUGUGCUGGGUUCAGUUCUCAGCACCGCAC
rnacentral:tRNA from 1 species